AGGUAGCCGCUCAUUUUAGAACUCACAGCGCAACAUAGACUACUCCGCGUCACUGCUCUCCGGUGACGAUGGCCGAUCAAGAUCAAUUUUCCGAUCUUGAUAUUCUUCCAUCCAUGAAAUCUCGAGAACUCGAGUUUAUUGGAAUUAACGCAUGCUGUCCCGGUGACAAUGGCCGAUCAAGAUCAAGAAUUCUCCACUGGAUUGCUGUCCCAGUGACGAUUCCGAUCAAAACCCUAAACCCCAAAUCAAUUUUAGAAUUCCCGAUGAUUCCGUUUUAAUCAUUUAGACUGCACCUGUGAAUUUGUCUGUGGCUUGCACAAAAGGCAGUGACCGCGAAGUCAUUGGAGAGGUCAAGAAGGUUAUCGAUGAAAAAUUCAUCAAUAGAGGACUGGUGGUGGGUCAUUUUCAAGGCCGUUUCAGGCCUGAAAUAACUGUUUUUUCAUGCCUUUUUGAAGCUGUCCAUGCCCUGUUGAACGCCCAAAAACAGAAACGGAAAAGCAUUACAUAAAAUGCAGAAAAAUGGGUAUAAAAUUUCAUGGAUAUUGUGUACUCCUAGUUUGAACUUUAACCCAGUUUCCACUUCCCACUUCCCACUUCCACCAGGUAUCUGUUGUUAUAGGUAUUGGGACCUGCUAUAUUAAGGUGGAUGACAAUGGUAAGUAUUGUAAUUUCUUUGACAUUAAUCCAAUGCGUUUUGGUGUGCAGAAAGUUCUGCUCAAUUUUUUAUUUUAUUUCAUCACCUAAAGUUGUACUUUCUUUUGAAGGAUCUGGUGUCCCACAAAAUGGACUGGUGCUGAUGGGAGAAAGAUAUGCGACAUCAAAAUACUGCCAUUCAGAUGAUAUGCAUGCUUUCCCAACAAGCUUUGGCCUUAAAGGAGAGGCUCUAAGUUGUACUUCUGACGUUUCCUUGUUGAAAAUUGUUACUAAAACUCACGGGAAGAUUUUGACGGGCAAGUGUUUGCACUUUGGAAUUGAUGAUUGUAGACAAGAUGUUGGUACAACAUGUAGUUCUGUAUGAGGCUACCUGAGACAAGAGUUGACUGCUGUUUCUAGUAAGGAAAUUUGUUGGGAUUUUUCUUUUUGCAUUUGUUGUUCGUGAUGUAUUUUACAAUCAGCCAGUUCGAAGGAAGCAAAUGCACUCCAAGUACUUCUAGUUCUCUCACAAUUCAAACGAAUAAAAAAUAUUGAUUUACAUACUUUACUUCUAAAGCUGCACUCUGUCCUGAUUGAUCUUUUGGUUUGCAUAUAUAGUCUGGAAUCCCAAAGUGGGUGUCUUGCAUUCUCUGAAAGAGUCCCUACUAAGAAUCGUCCUUGUGCAUCCCAACGUCUCCUGCAAUUUUGUUGAUAUUGAAAGUGAAGAUGACCUGCUUUGCACACGUGUUUCUCCUCCUCCGUUACCGCUAUUGUCCAGUGGUUUUGGAUUCAUCUAAGUUCCCUUAUCAAAUUGAAUGCAAGUGAUGGCUUAUUCAAACUAUCAGGAUACAUCUCAGAUAUCAAUUCAAGAUUUGUUUCCAAAGGACCAAGACAUAAAUUACUUAAUAAGAUAGCAAUGACUUUUGGUAGUGCUUCUUACUAUGAGCAGCGAAGUCAAUCUCAGAUAUAUCCACUGGUUUUGUUGAACCUAAACUUCCCAAGAUCUUUAUAUGAUUUGACGUUGGAGCCUUCAAUGAACUCUGUGGAAUUUAAGUUUCCACCAGGUAUCUGUUGCUAUAGGCAUUGGGACCUGCUAUAUUAAGGUGGAUGACAAUGUUGUACUUUCUUUUGGGAUCUGGUGUCUCACGAGAUGGACUGGUGCUGCUGAUGGGAGAAAGAUAUGCUUUACAUCAGCGACAUCAAAAUACAGCCAUUUCAGAUGAUAUGCAUGCUUUCCCAGCAAGCUUUGGCUUUAAAGGAGAGGCUCUGAGCUCUAUUUCUGAUGUUUAUUUGUUGGAAUUGUUACCAAAACUCAUGAGAGGCCAAAUGGAUAUCGUAAGGUUUUGAAGGACGGCAAGGGUUUUUGUACCUUGGAAUUGAUGAGUGUAGACAAGAUGAUUGUACAACAUGUAAUUAUGUAUAACCCUACCUGAUACAUGAGUUGACUGCUGUUUCCUAAUAAGGAAAUUUCUUGGUUUUUUUCCUUUUUGAAGUAAUUUUUUGUGAUGUAUUUUGCAACUAACCAGCUCGAAGGAAGCAAUUGCACUCCAAGUACUUUUAGUGCCGUUUGGAUUAGCUU